rnacentral:rRNA from 1 species
CAAUAGCGUAUAUUAAAGUUGUUGCGGUAAAAAAGCUCGUAGUUGGAUUUCUGUUGAGGACGACCGGUCCGUACCAUGUACGCGCAUCUGGUUCGGCCUCGGCAUCCUCUCGAUAGACGUUUCUGCGCUUGAUUGCGUGGAGCGGAUUUCGGGACUUUUACUUUGAGGAAAUUGGAGUGUUCACGGCAGGCUAACGCCAGAACAUAUUAGCAUGGAAUAAUACUAUAGGAUCUCGGUUCUAUUUUGUUGGUUUCUAGACCCGGGGUAAUGAUAAAUAGGGACAAUUGGGGGCAUUUGUAUCAACACGUCAGAGGUGGAAUUCUUGGAUUGUGUUGCGACAAACUACUGCGAAAGCAUUUGCCAAGGAUGUUUNCAUUGA